rnacentral:rRNA from 1 species
UGGGGAAUAUUGGACAAUGGGCGCAAGCCUGAUCCAGCCAUGCCGCGUGAGUGAUGACGGUCUUAGGAUUGUAAAGCUCUUUCACCGGAGACGAUAAUGACGGUAUCCGGAGAAGAAGCCCCGGCUAACUUCGUGCCAGCAGCCGCGGUAAUACGAAGGGGGCUAGCGUUGUUCGGAAUUACUGGGCGUAAAGCGCACGUAGGCGGACCAAUCAGUCAGGGGUGAAAUCCCGGGGCUCAACCCCGGAACGGCCUUUGAUACUGUUGGUCUAGAGUGUGAGAGAGGUGAGUGGAAUUGCGAGUGUAGAGGUGAAAUUCGUAGAUAUUCGCAGGAACACCAGUGGCGAAGGCGGCUCACUGGCUCACAACUGACGCUGAGGUGCGAAAGCGUGGGGAGCAAACAGG